CCUCACCAAGACCGCGUCCCCAUUCAUCGUUAUCGUCACCAUAGUCGCCAAUUUCCAGUGUAAGUGAUUUCACAGAGGUGUUUCCUGCUAACCCUUCGCCAUGACCGUGUACCCAUUUAAUGGUCAUGGGUCUACCCUUGAUUGUGAGUGAUUCCAGCGAGGUGUUUCUUGCUAGAGCCUCACCAAGACCGUGUUCCCAUUCAUUGCUCUUG